CAGCACCUCAAGUGGUCAGGAUGAUUAUUGGGCCUAAAGCAUCCGUAGCCUGCUUUGUUAGUUUUCGGUUAAAUCCAUACGCUCAACGUAUGGGCUGCCGGGAAUACUGCAAAGCUAGGGAGUGGGAGAGGUAGACGGUACUCGGUAGGAAGGGGUAAAAUCCUUUGAUCUAUUGAUGACCACCUGUGGCGAAGGCGGUCUACCAGAACACGUCCGACGGUGAGGGAUGAAAGCUGGGGGAGCGAACCGGAUUAGAUACCCGAGUAGUCC
rnacentral:rRNA from 1 species